GUUUAAUGUACAAUUUUUAUCGUAAAUAUAACGGUCUUUAAAAUCAUUUAUAAACCCAAACUUUGCUCAGAAUCGUUUAUCGUUAGCAAAGUUUUACCGUUGCUUACAUAUAUAAAUUAAAUAUUUUUAUGUAUCCUACCUUCCCAAAUGCUUACCUUAAAGAAUGGCAAUAUCAGCUCUUUUUUUUAUACGUACUUAUACGACGUAAAUUAAUGUACAAGAACAGAUGCUUAACUAUUAUACUGAGGUAUUAAGUAUACGAAAUAAUUCUGAUCGAUA